GAGCGAGAAUAGGCCUGUUUUCACAAAAUUAGGGUUGAGGGGUUCCAUAUCGAAUGACACCAGCAGGUGGCGGUAACUGGACCGCCAACUGUCGUUAGAUUUGACGAAGAAGACAGAUAAACCAAGCUAAACAGCUAAACUAUGAGCUAAACGCAGACAGUCAAGCAAACUAUUAUAUUGUAUCGCAUUAUACGCGGAGGUAGCAGCAUCUGCUUGUGCCAAGAAGCUGAAGCUGAGAAGAGUGACAGUCAUGUACAGCGUCAGUCAGCGGAAUGUGGACCGAGUGUACACCUUUUUGCUGGCAGUUUGUGUAUUGCUGGCCUGGGGCUUUGUGAUCUACGGUUGCAGGGAAGCGGCUCUGGAAAGUCUCACUGCUGUGGGUGGAACCUGAAGCCCCAGAGACCUCUGGGAAAUUGAGUUGCAGGGACAAUGUCAUCACAAGCACACACAGACAAUCUGACGCAGCACAAGAAGGAAGUCUUCUGGACACUGUAUGAGCUGCCAAAUGACCAACAGGUGUGUGUUCUGUGCAUGCACAACAGUACAUUCACUCAUUUGCCAAGGUGGAGGGACGUUGAUCCAGUGUGCCCUCAUGAACAGAUGAGACUGGUGCAGUUAUGUUUUGAAACAUUAUCAUCUAAUUUAUUAAAGAUCUGAUUUUUGUUUUUACUGAAAAUGUGUCAAUCCCUUUUAGAAUAAAUCUUGGUGCCACACCCCAUCAUGUAGGAUAUAGAUCACCUAUAGACACCAGACAAAACAAGAAGAGCGCAGCUUACAUCAACCUCAACAUUUUCAUUUUACUUUGUACAAAUUGCUGCAGAUCCCAGGGACGAUUGGGAUUAAAUCAGCAAAUAGAGGGAUAAAGCUGCCAAAUCUAUCCCAGAAACGCUGUCUGACUCAGUAAUAUUGCCACAUCUGCUGAACAACAAAACGGUCUGCAGUUUAUUUGUCCACUGCAGUUUUUCUGAGAAGUCAGUCAUGAAUGUUCUCUCUCUGGGCAUUCUACUGGCUGUUACUGCUCUCUGGCAUUUUUAACGCAACAUCAUGUUGUUCUUUUAUCUUUAAAUAAAGGCUUCAAACUCA